rnacentral:rRNA from 1 species
GACGAACGCUGGCGGCGUGCUUAACACAUGCAAGUCGAGCGGUAAGGCCCUUCGGGGUACACGAGCGGCGAACGGGUGAGUAACACGUGGGUGACCUGCCUCUAGCUCUGGGAUAAGCCUGGGAAACUGGGUCUAAUACCGGAUAUGACUCCACGGCGCAUGUUGUGGGGUGGAAAGCCUUGUGUGGCUAGAGAUGGGCCCGCGGCUUAUCAGCUUGUUGGUGGGGUGAUGGCCUACCAAGGCGACGACGGGUAGCCGGCCUGAGAGGGCGACCGGCCACACUGGGACUGAGACACGGCCCAGACUCCUACGGGAGGCAGCAGUGGGGAAUCUUGCGCAAUGGGCGAAAGCCUGACGCAGCGACGCCGCGUGAGGGAUGACGGCCUCGGUGUAAC